CCUACGGGAGGCAGCAGUGGGGAAUUUUGCGCAAUGGGGGCAACCCUGACGCAGCAACGCCGCGUGAGUGAUGAAGGCCUUCGGGUCGUAAAGCUCUGUCAGAGGGGAAGAAAUGCAGGUGGUGACCAACCAUUCUGUUUGACGGUACCCUCAAAGGAAGCACCGGCUAACUCCGUGCCAGCAGCCGCGGUAAUACGGAGGGUGCGAGCGUUGUUCGGAAUUAUUGGGCGUAAAGCGCGUGUAGGCGGUUUGUUAAGUCGGAUGUAAAAGCCCCGGGCCCAACCUGGAAAGUGCAUUGGAUAAUGGCAGACUGGAGUACGGGAGAGGAGAGUGGAAUUCCCAGUGUAGGAGUGAAAUCCGUAGAUAUUGGGAGGAACACCGGUGGCGAGGGCGGCUCUCUGGACCGAUACUGACGCUGAGCCGCGAAAGCGGGGGGAGCAAACAGGAUUAGAUACCCCUGUAGU
rnacentral:rRNA from 1 species